rnacentral:rRNA from 1 species
UACAGAGGUCUCAAGCGUUGUUCGGAUUCAUUGGGCGUAAAGGGUGCGUAGGCGGCGCGGUAAGUCGGGUGUGAAAUCUCGGAGCUUAACUCCGAAACUGCAUUCGAUACUGCCGUGCUUGAGGACUGGAGAGGAGACUGGAAUUUACGGUGUAGCGGUGAAAUGCGUAGAUAUCGUAAGGAAGACCAGUGGCGAAGGCGGGUC